rnacentral:rRNA from 1 species
UACAGAGGUCUCAAGCGUUGUUCGGAUUCAUUGGGCGUAAAGGGUGUGUAGGUGGCGCGCUAAGUCGGGUGUGAAAUUUCGGAGCUUAACUCCGAAACUGCAUUCGAUACUGGCGUGCUUGAGGACUGGAGAGGAGACUGGAAUUCCUGGUGUAGCGGUGAAAUGCGCAGAUAUCAGGAGGAACACCGGUGGCGAAGGCGGGUCUCUGGGCCGUAACUGACGCUGAGGAGCGAAAGCAUGGGGAGCGAACAGG